AGAGUUGUAAUGUUGUAUUGAACAUGGGAAUUGUGACAUAGCAUGAAGUUAAAUUAAAAAUGUGGAUUAUUUCUGCCCCUAGGUACAGUUCCUCCAUAUGUAAAAAUGCUUAUAUCUGAGCAGAUUGCUUCAUCCAGAUGAGGAUUUGUUCCAUAACCCAAUCUUUCCACCUUCAUGGAUUGUACUUUUCUCUUCUCAGGAGAUUUGAACUCUCUCAACUCUUGAAACUGUUGACCUGGAAUCAACCACUUAGAGAAGCAUGGGAACAGCACUUGACAUACACACCACCAAUGAGAGUUUCUUAAACAUGGUCCUGAGGACUGAUGGAAAAUAAAAUUUGAACCUAUAGUCCAUGACACUUCUGGCAGCAGGAAAAGUCCUCAAUAGCUUCUUUCAUCACUAGCCAUAUGGGGGACAUGGAUGUGACUCCUAGUUCUUGAGUAUGCUUCUGGUGCUUAUACAUAUCCAAGGGCUACCUCUGAGAAGCAGGAUUUACAAGUUGGGAGCUGCAGUUUCUAUAUGAAGAAAGUCAGUAGAAAUAAGACAUGUUACAGAUCUUCAGCGUGAAGUGGAGGAUCUCCUCCUUGCAAGCUGUAUGGGAACUGCUGAAUCACAUCCUGAACCUCUGACUGAUCACCUGAGUGAGCAGUGAGUCAGCCAUGGGAGCACAGGUGAAGGCAAUUCACCUGUGCUGCCGAAGGGAUGGAGCCUGGCUGCACCUCUCCUAUACCCAUUUAAGAGCUGACUGCCAGUAGGGAAGGAUCUCUUCUGGAGAUCCACUUUGCUGAAGUUUCAUAAGUGAGCCUAGGAUACAGCAGAGCUGCGGAGUGCCUCACAGUCAGUGAAAGGAGAAGGAUGCAGUGGAGAGAAGCAGUAGGCAGACAAAGGCUGAGAUGUGAUAGUAUGCUGUAUGGGAAAUACUGAAUCACGGCCUGAACCUCUGAUUGAUCACCCGAGGCAAGCAAUGAGUCAGCUGUGGGAGCACAGGUGACGGCAAUUCACCUGUGUGAUCAGAAGGGGCAGAGCCUGGCUCCACCUCUACUAAACCUUAUUUAAGGGCUGACUGCCACUGAGGAAGGAAACUCUCUCCAAAGAUUGUUCUUCUUGGAGUCUUUCUUUGUGAGCCUAGGGCACAGGGAUCAACCUUCCUGCUCACAGGCUUCCAUGGCCAUGCAGACAUUUUUUUUUAAACUCCUCUUCGAGUUCCAUGUGGCAAGAAACAGCCGUUUCUGUUCUAAACUUGGCUCCACAUGCUCUCAGGUCAAUCAUGUCACUCUGAUGGAGUAAAGGUCUAAAGUAGGUCAUUGGAUAUUCACACAGUACUUCAUCAGAGCCAUCUUCCAAGGACAGGCUAUAGCACUGAAGAAAUGAGUGUGAGUCAAGAUUGCUAGUUAGUUCUCUGUCAAACUCAAGCUAUCCUGGAAUAAUCAAAUAUCCAACAUCUACAUAGAGAGCUUGGCCUGCUGAUGAGAAUUCCUUUUUGGAGUAGGAAUGACAAAGGAACGCAGCAGCAGGAAACUAGAGGUUUAUGAGCCAGGCAAGUAAAAGCAGUGCUAGGGCUCAGUACUCAUCUUCCAACGUUUUGCAAGACAUCCACUUGCUUAUCUACAGGACUGGAGGAGAAGAUAGAAAGAUCCAAUGCUGAGGUAAUUGCUUUGCCAGACUUUAUAGUCUUCUGACCACACUUCAGUUCUAAAACACAAAAAUCAUGUGGAAAAGAAUCUUUACAGAUGAUUAAGUGGCCUGAAGUCUCAUGGAUGCAUUCAGAUAUUAUGGGAGUCAUUAACAUGUUAAAAUAAGGAAAAUGUCAUGAAUUUCUCCUGGAGAUACAGGAUUCUAAAAUGAUGGUAGUAUGUUCCUAUUAUACAGUUUACUUCAUAUUUUUAUUGUGUGAAAAUGCACAUCCCCAGAAUUUUACACACAAAUUGGUGCCUCAUGAUUCUUCCUUCCACGUGAAAGCAAUAAUUGAGCCAUAUUUUCAGUAAGUUGAGCUCCAUAGAUAUAUAUCUGUACAUACGUGUGCAAAUCCCAAAGCUAUCCUUGUAGCCAAAUGUUUUGAUGUCUGUUACUUGAAUGUAAAUGUUGCAGACAGGGGUAAAAACACAAGUAUGUUUUGUGCCAAAUUAUAGGUCUCAGUUUCCUGGGAAAUUUGAGCGUAUGAAUUCAAAUUUAUAUGAACAAUAUAUCUAUUGAUACGUUAUCUCUCUUUGGGCAUAUUCAAGUGAGAGACACUGGCUCUGCAGUUGAGAAGCUCCUUAUUAUUUAAAUGAUCAGGCACCCAAAUGUAAUUUUCUGUCUUGAAACACUGCGGUGUCAUUGCACUCAUUCCCUGAACCACAAAACAUGUGUUGGAUUGCUUCAGGCAGCAUAUUUUGCAGGGACUCCUCAGCAUGCUCUUCUUUUUGCAGACCUGUUAUACAUUAUCACUCUGGUCACAGGGAGGCAAUAGGAAAAGCGUAAGCUUUGCAAAUAGACGUGUCUGACACACAGCUCUCCCUCUGUUAUACGGAAAUCUUUAUUUACAAGUUUACAUUUUGCAUAAAGUUCCUCAUCAGCAUAAAAUCUCUUCCUCCAGCCUUGCAGAGUGAGGGGAAUGUGGACACAUUCUCUUUGAAGUUAUGAAGUUCAUUCACAACAGUUGGUGGUACUCCCAGCUCUUCCAAAGAAUCACAGAAUCAUUUGGGUUGGAAGGAGCCUUUAAAGGCCAUCUAGUCCAACUGCCCAGCAGCAGGACACCUGUAGUUAGGGCACUAGCUUCCCAGAGCUGCUCUUCUUGCCUGUCAGGGCAGACAGGUUCCUCUAUAUAAUAUGUCAGCUGAUAUGGAUUAUGGCAAAAGUUACCUCAGCUUUCUGGCUAAAGAAUAAGCAAAAAGCUGUCCACUUUCCUGGCGAAAUUCAAGCUGUGCAAACAGACCUUUUUUCUUGCAGCGAUUUCUGCUGACACCUUUCUGACAAAGAAGGAUGCCACAGGAUGAGGAGGAGCACCUGGUGCCUUCUCCAUUCUAACUUGCACACUGUCAUUAGAGAGUAAUUUUAUAAACAAAGAUUUUUCAGGAUGUAUUUCAGAUUUGCAAAGCAUGGUAUUAUCUCCAUCCUCCUUCUAGUCACGUGUUCUGCCCUUUGGAAAGACUGCACACUGUCUACUGCUGACAUCUGUUUUGCUUUUCAGUACAUGAUCAGAAAUGUAAAAAGGAGGAUUUUUGAACGGAGACGGUUCCCACCUUCAGCUGACUUUCCAGAAUGCAGUGGAAUUGACCGACUUCGUCUCUCAGAGCAGGAGAGAGCACUGCCAUCUAUCGACUGGGUCGCUGCAUAACGCUUCUUCUGACAUUUAAAGUGCUUUGGCAGUUUGGGAAUGCGUCAGAACACCCAGUAGCGUUCCUAAGUUCCUGUUUUGAUGCACCAUGCUUCGGUGACACGUUCCCGAGAUAGAAAAUAGCUACUGCCCAUAAUUCAAGUGUGAUGCUUUUAAGCACUGCAAUCUAAAACAUGGGGCAGGGGAGAAAAAAAGCCUUUCAGUUAUUUCUUCCUAAUAUUUGACUUAGGUCCUUCCUGGUAUUUGACUUUGCAGCUACAUAACAAAAUGCAGAUGCAUAUAAUAAACAGAAUUAUCUACUCCCACACAUAAAUUUUGUUUACUAAGCAGACGGAAGCAAGGCCCCUUUGUUACCUCUUGUACACAUCCGAACACUUUGUAGAAUCAUAGAAUUGCUCAGAUUGGAGAAGACCUUAAAGAUCAGUGAGUCCAACCACAAGCUAACCAUACUUCCCGAACUAAAAACCCUCUGCUAAAUCACGUCUCUGAGCACCACAUCCAAAUGCUUUUUAAACACAUCCAGGGACGGUGACUCAACCACCUCCCUGGGGAGCCUAUUCCAGUGCUUAACAACCCCUUACUAUAAAGAAGUUUUUCCUGAUAUCCAACCUAAACUUACCCUGGCACAACUUGAGGUUGUUUUCCCUCAUCCUGUCACCAGUGAGAAGACGCCAGCUCCACUCUCGCUGUAAGCACCUUUCAGGUAUUGAAGCGAGCAAUAAGGUCUUCCCUCGGCCUCCUUUUC